GCCUGUGACUGGUGAUAUGGCAACGCCACCAUUGAAAUCCCAGAGGCAGGAACAGAAAGCUUCUGCAUCUGGUUUAAUGGGGUCAAAGCUGACACCUGAGGAUCCUGUUUAAAUUUUGUCCCCAUAUAAGGCUCCCCUGCAUUAGAUUGUUCAGUGAAACCUGCAUCUUUCCUAGAUGGUUGCUGCUGCCUUGGAACAGGAGGUACUGGCGCUGAAACCGCAGNNNNNNNNNNNNNNNNNNNNNNNNNNNNNNNNNNNNNNNNNNNNNNNNNNNNNNNNNNNNNNNNNNAUGACGAGUAUACAACAGAAGACACAACACUUGAUUUAAUAGUCACAGAAGCAACCCCUGACAUAUUAGGCACAUCACGGGAAAAUUCUACAUUAGUUGGUUCGACAAUGCCAGGAAUUGGGGUGUUAGCUUUACUAACAGAUACGGAGCUAAGUGAUGGGGAAUUCAUGAAACCGACAUUUUGUGGAGCAUGACUCACAGGAGAGUUAAAUAUUGGUGGCUGAGAAUUAGUAGUUAUCAGGCUAUUGGUCAUUGGAAGAGAACUAGAAGGUGGAUAGUAGAGAGAACUGGGAUUGUAUGAGCUGGGUGAAUAAUAGUUGAUAGGAUGAGAAGCAGAGAAAGAUUUAACAGGUUGGGAUUGAGAAGGUACAUUAGGAUGUGACCUAGCCCCAGAUGAUCCACCAUCUGAAUAAGCAUCUUCCCGUUUUUCAAGCUUCAGCUCUUGAUGCGUAUCAGGAUGAGUUAUCUUCACAGGAGUAGGUUUUCGAGGACCAGUAAAUUUUCCUCCUUGAGGCUGGGAAUAUUGGUGACCCAUGCCAAUGCCCAUGUUGCCUAAUUGAUGGGACAACGGAUGGGGAAUGAAACUCAUGUUUUGGCUUUGAUGCAUAAUCCCCUGAGGAUGCAUCGGAUGAGGCUGAAGGCCUUGAACAAAAACUUGAGGUUGCACUUGUGCAGCAUUUCCAAUUGGUAAAGGCAUAGGUAUGGGCAUCUGAAGGGAUGCUGUUGACAAACUCUGAGAUGGAAUCUGUGGAUUAGGACCACCAAACUGUAAAGAUGCCUGUGACUGGUGAUAUGGCAACGCCACCAUUGAAAUCCCAGAGGCAGGAACAGAAAGCUUCUGCAUCUGGUUUAAUGGGGUCAAAGCUGACACCUGAGGAUCCUGUUUAAAUUUUGUCCCCAUAUAAGGCUCCCCUGCAUUAGAUUGUUCAGUGAAACCUGCAUCUUUCCUAGAUGGUUGCUGCUGCCUUGGAACAGGAGGUACUGGCGCUGAAACCGCAUAAAAUUAAGCAAUUAGACAUUAAGAAAUAACUUAAAUUCUACGAAAGGUGAAAACAUAUAAAGCAAGCUAACUUCAACAAGACAAAGUACAAAUACAUAUGGCAUUCCUUUUUCAGAUUCUAUUUUCAAAUCAAGUUCCUUGUCAUAACAGAGAAUUUGAAGUAAAAAAGAAAAAGCUCUUUACUUCGUAUGUGGGGAGCAAUGGUUGUAACCAAUAUAAUUCAAGAAUUUAAGAGAAAAAAAGAAUAAAAGUGC
rnacentral:lncRNA from 1 species